UAGGGAAUAUUGGGCAAUGGGCGGAAGCCUGACCCAGCCAUGCCGCGUGUGCGAUGAAGGCUUUCGGGUCGUAAAGCACUUUUAUUCGGGAAGACACGCACUGUGCGCAGUGCUAUGACGGUACCGAAGGAAUAAGCACCGGCUAACUCCGUGCCAGCAGCCGCGGUAAUACGGAGGGUGCAAGCGUUGUCCGGAUUCAUUGGGUUUAAAGGGUGCGUAGGCGGCCUGAUAAGUCAGGGGUGAAAUACCGCGGCUCAACCGCGGGGCUGCCCCUGAUACUGCCAGGCUUGGCUGCCGGAAGGGCAUGCGGAAUUUGCGGUGUAGCGGUGAAAUGCAUAGAUACCGCAAGGAACGCCAGAGGCGAAGGCGGCGUGCUAGCCGGCCAGCGACGCUGAUGCACGAAAGCGCGGGUAGCGAACAGG
rnacentral:rRNA from 1 species